rnacentral:rRNA from 1 species
GAUGAACGCUGGCGGCGUGCCUAAUACAUGCAAGUCGAGCGAACAGACGAGGAGCUUGCUCCUCUGACGUUAGCGGCGGACGGGUGAGUAACACGUGGAUAACCUACCUAUAAGACUGGGAUAACUUCGGGAAACCGGAGCUAAUACCGGAUAACAUGUUGAACCGCAUGGUUCAACAGUGAAAGACGGUCUUGCUGUCACUUAUAGAUGGAUCCGCGCCGCAUUAGCUAGUUGGUAAGGUAACGGCUUACCAAGGCAACGAUGCGUAGCCGACCUGAGAGGGUGAUCGGCCACACUGGAACUGAGACACGGUCCAGACUCCUACGGGAGGCAGCAGUAGGGAAUCUUCCGCAAAGGGCGAAAGCCUGACGGAGCAACGCCGCGUGAGUGAAGAAGGUCUUCGGAUCGUAAAACUCCGUUAUUAGGGAAGAACAAAUGUGUAAGUAACUAUGCACGUCUUGACGGUACCUAAUCAGAAAGCCACGGCUAACUACGUG